rfam:Picea glauca, whole genome shotgun sequence.
AUAUGCCUACAACAUAGUGUUAAUGCAUCAGAUCCAUUUAAAACUUUGCAAUUAACAAUGCUCAGGCUCGAGUAGUACUGGGAUGGGUGACCUCUCGGGAAGUCCUAGUGUUUUACAUGCC